CCUACGGGAGGCAGCAGUGGGGGAUAUUGCACAAUGGGGGGAACCCUGAUGCAGCGACGCCGCGUGGGUGAAGGAGCGUUUCGGCGCGUAAAGCCCUAUCGGCAGGGAAGAAGGAGGACGGUACCUGACUAAGAAGCCCCGGCUAACUACGUGCCAGCAGCCGCGGUAGUACGUAGGGGGCAAGCGUUAGCCGGAGUUACUGGGUGUAAAGGGGGCGCAGACGGCGGCGCAAGCACGGAGUGCAAGCCCGGGGACUAUCCCCGGGACUGCUCUUGGAACUGCGCGGCUGGAGUGCAGGAGGGGCAGGCGGAAUUCCUGGUGUAGCGGUGAAAUGCGUAGAUAUCAGGAGGAACACCGGUGGCGAAGGCGGCCUGCUGGACUGCGACUGACGUUGAGGCCCGAAAGCGUGGGGAGCAAACAGGAUUAGAUACCCCAGUAGUC
rnacentral:rRNA from 1 species